rnacentral:tRNA from 1 species
GGGGUGGUGGAGCAAUGGUAACGUCUCUGACUGAUAAUCGGUCGACCUGGAUUCAAUUCCCAGCAUUGCG